GGGUACAGCUUCUUGCCCUUGAGACCUCGGAAGGCCACGCCCAGGUACUGGCCAUCCACGAUGAAGCUGAGUGUGCCCUCAUCCAUGUCCAGCACCACGAGCAGCGAGUCGGGCAGCGCAAAGGCCUCGUCGGGCCCCAGGAAGGCCGGGUAGGCCACGCCGGGCUGGUUCUUGCCGUCGUGGUAGAGGCGGCUGCGGCCCAGGUCCCAGCCCCACGACUCGGCGUCACUGCCUACCAGCGCCGUGUAGCCCACGGAGUGCAGGGGAGCACGGGCAGUGGCCACACCAACUACAGCGUGGGUGCCGCGCUGCCGAGCCGGCCAGUUGAUCUGCCAGGCGUGCAGGCCGCGGGCGUGGCCCACCUUGCCGCGGAUGCCGUCGGUGCUCUGGGCCACGGGGUGCCGGUGGAAGAUCCCAGCUUCAGCAGAUGUUGACCCUAUUCCAAGAGCUCUGGCUAAUGUUCAAUCUGAGGGAAUACCAGAACACAUAACAAUUUGCAACACUAGGCAGUUUUAAGAUAGCAGAAUAAAGUUACUCCUUUUCAUAUCCGAAAUCACCCAAAAUCCAGGAGAAAAAAAGAAAUGCAAACUCCUUCUUCAGCAAACUAGAACACAUUUAUAACCUGAACCACAGCUUAUAAGGAAAGGCUGCCCAAAACAGGUAAGGGCUACCAAAAGCAGUGAAGAUCAAAAAUACUGUGAGAAAACACCUAGAGAAGACACCUGUGGUGGCAGUGAGAAAACACCUAGAGAAGACACCUGUGGUGGCAGAUCUCAGACAAAGCUGGCAGAGCCAGCCAGGAGCUGGCAUUCCCUGAAGGAAAAAACUAAUGAUCCCUUAUCAGAAAAAAUGGGAACAUGGCAUGUGGUCUGGUAGUGGGAGCUGCCUCCUACACCCUGGGGGAAGAGGAGGGCAGGGCCAACAGAGGAAACCACAGACCCGCCAUCUUCACAGGAAGCAGUGUGUUGGCAAGGCAGAGUGAGAGGAGGGCUCUGAAUUGGGAGAAGCCCACAGCUGCAGAACUCUGCUGACAGAGUAGAAGCAAAGACUAAAGGAAGUCACUACGACAACCCUGUGAACAAAGUUCCUGGGAACCAGGGAGCAAUCCUGCCCUCUUCUUGGUACCUCCUCCACAUGCGUCUCCUGCAAAAUGCUGAUCCAAGAAGGUUUACCUCUUUCAAAGAGGAACCAGCACAGGAUAUAGUCAAAGAUGCUAUAGAAGAAAGAAAGGAAUAAACGAACAGGACAAAACAUGGCAAACCAAGCAAACUCACCUGAAAAAAGCUGCCACAAAGCAGAUAAAAAUGGGAACCAAAUUUGUAAACUAAUUUUGUGAUUGAUUAUUUCAGAAGGGAGACACCUAGCAUGGUCUCAACAAAAGAUUAAAUCCAUUUUGUCUAGUUAUAAAGCUUAUUAAAGGUCAAAAAAAUGGAUAACGCAUGCUUGGAGAAUGUGUGGAACAGAAGACAGACUCAUACAUUGCUAAAGUGGAUAUAAACUGGUUUAGCCUCGGCAAAUGGCAAAUUAACACCAUCUUUCAGAAUUGCAAAUAUGCAGACCCUUUGACCUAGCAAUUCUACUUCCAGCAUUUAUUCAGAUAUGUUCUCAAAUGCACAAAACUACCUAUGUACACAGCACAUGCAUACAUACGCAGCACUCUUUGCAACAGCAGCCCGGGCUCAGAGAGGUUGCAUAACUUGCAUAACCUGGGGUCACACAGCCAGGAAGUGGCAGGACUGAGAUCAACCCCAGAGUUACCAUAUGACAAGCCUGUGCUCUUACUUCUUCCUCCAUGUUGUUUAGAAUAAUGCCCUCUCCACGGCAAUGACUGUAACCAGCUCUGUGUGGCCCACACAGAAAAUUUCUAAGGGAAACUGCUUUAUCCUUGCACACAACCAUGCCAACUGUGGAGUUGCUGUUGCUGAAAAGACACUUAAACGUGUUUGAAAGCAACAGCCAAACAGCAGCCCCAGGGAAGACCUCUUACUAGUACUUGGCUUGGCCCAUACUGGGUCAUUGAGGGCCCAGUGCUCUCCUUUGCAAUCAUAGUCUCAAAGUCUCUGUCCCUACUAGAGGCAGGCAGAGAUCCUGAAGAGUGCUCACACUGUGGUGUGACAAGGUGGGCAAGUAAAUAGACAGCCCCUUUGCUGCUCCCCCAGUACAGGGCGCACAGCAGAGUGCUCAUGUCCAUGAAUGGCAAGCCGUUAAGGGAAACUAGCAGCUGGGCAAUCCAAUGAAGGACAGGAGACCUAGAUGUGAAUCCCCACCUGUCUGUUGGACCCUAGGCCAGGACUUAAUCUCUCUGAGACUGGUUGGAAGUGCUGCUAACUAUGUGCUAACCUCACCUGCUUUUGCAAGUAUCAGAGCAGACACCUGUAAAGUCUGGCACACCACAGGGCUUCCAGUAAGUGCUUCCUGAGGCCUCUCUAGAAGCCAAGCAGAUGCCAGCACCGUGCUUCCUGUAAAGCCUGCAGAACCCAUGCAGCACUGGGCCAGACACAUGGGACAUACAACAGGAUCCAUCUUCCUGACAGGAAUACCAUCAUCUCUCAACCCAGUAAGCAGCCAGCAUCCUGAAGAACGCCAAAGGGUGCCUCCGUCACUUUUCCCCAAAACCAAACUUAAUUUCCUACGUCAUGCUUGGAUGGGGAUGCUUAAUGACAUUAUCCAGAAGGAUCUGCUCUGGGGCUUCAAUCAUGGCUGAGCAAGAAAACAAAAACUCUAAUUUGCUAAUUGCCUUCCCCAGGACCCUAGCAGAUGUUCCUACCCAACAGGGAAAUGAGGAGACAUGAAGUGGCAAUGCCACACUGUUUAAGGAACCUCAUUAGUUUGAAAAAUACGAUGCACAGUCUUCAGAGGCCUGGGACCCAAAAUCACAGCCACAGAGGCCUGUCUAGCUGAGCUCAAUGGGCACGGGGUCUGCAAGAAGACAUGACUGCUGUGGGGAUUGGUAGUGACUGCGUGAAAUGCCCUUCUCUCUGUGUGGCCUCUGGCUUUGGACUUGCUGGAGCCAGAGGUGGGGGCAAGUCUCCUUCUUUCAUCUAGCCAGCAGUAAUGAUGCCUGCCCUGGGGAUCUCAGGCUGCUGAAAAGCAUAAGACUCAACCACUUUCCCUUAGGGAGACGGCCUACACCAAAGGGGUCAGACUCCACGAGAGAUCUGAAUAAUGACAAAGACUGUAAAAAGAAAUCCAGUUAGGUACCACUGGAAUUCCUUUAUAGACUGCAUAUUACUUUCAAAUAUAUACUACUGCACUUGUAAAAGUA